CUCUGAUGGAGGUGAAAUCUACAAAGUGCAGUGUAUCAUCAAGAACCUUGAAGAGGCCCGAAACCACGAGCUGGACAACCAUCAGAAGGCCGUCGCCACACUACAGAAUCUGCAUGUAACAAAAAUAGCCCAUCUGAGACGUCAGCAUCAAGAGAAAAUGACCAAGGUAAUUGAAGGACCAUCCAAUAACUGCUCUCAACAUGUGUUAUUAUCAGCAAGAUGGAAUUUUAAAAUUGAUAGUAGCCUGGUGUGGAGGUGCAUGUCUGCCAUCCCAACACUCUGUGGAGGCCGAGGCAGGAGGAUUGUUGUGAGUUUGAGGCCAGCCUAGUGGCCCCACACUCUGUGCACCUCUCAGUUGGC
rnacentral:lncRNA from 1 species